ensembl:snRNA U2 U2 spliceosomal RNA
AUCGCUUCUUGGCCUUUUGGCUAAGAUCAAGUGUAGAAUCUGUUCUUCACAGAAGAUGAACCCAAAAGCCCAGGGAUUGGAGCCAAAAGCCAUCGAGAACUAUU